UAUGAAAAUUUUCAAAAAGUUGCAGGGAUGAAAUUGAAAUUUAACAAACCCAUCUUCCACCUUGAGAAAGAAGCCCUAGCCACCGCCACCAAUCCUCGCACAGCCGAUGAACACUCCAGCCACCACUGCUACCAGCACAAGACGCCGACCGCACAACUUUGCUAUCCGGCCGGCCAUUCCACUACUACAGCGGCAGCCUCGAGAUCGUCGGCAUUGCGAUGGCAUGCUAGAUCUUCCGGAGUCGUGCAACAGCCUUUUCUUGCGACCUCGAAGCGGCUCGAGGCGUCCGACGAC
rnacentral:lncRNA from 1 species